UAACAGGAAGCAGCUUGCUGCUUCGCUGACGAGUGGCGGACGGGUGAGUAAUGUCUGGGAAACUGCCUGAUGGAGGGGGAUAACUACUGGAAACGGUAGCUAAUACCGCAUAACGUCGCAAGACCAAAGAGGGGGACCUUCGGGCCUCUUGCCAUCGGACGUGCCCAGAUGGGAUUAGCUAGUAGGUGGGGUAACGGCUCACCUAGGCGACGAUCCCUAGCUGGUCUGAGAGGAUGACCAGCCACACUGGAACGGAGACACGGUCCAGACUCCUACGGGAGGCAGCAGUGGGGAAUAUUGCACAAUGGGCGCAAGCCUGAUGCAGCCAUGCCGCGUGUAUGAAGAAGGCCCUCGGGUUGUAAAGUACUUUCAGCGGGGAGGAAGGCGAUAAGGUUAAUAACCUUGUCGAUUGACGUUACCCGCAGAAGAAGCACCGGCUAACUCCGUGCCAGCAGCCGCGGUAAUACGGAGGGUGCAAGCGUUAAUCGGAAUUACUGGGCGUAAAG
rnacentral:rRNA from 1 species